AUCAGAAAAGCAUCUCUCUCUCUCUUCUCCCUCUCCCACGCCACAUUUCUUCUUCUUCUUCCUCUCUGCAACAACCACAAAACUCACAAACGUGAAAAACAAAUUACACCAUCGUGAUCAUCUCAGUCCCACGAUCACAACCAUGUCCUUGAAAUCUAGUGUGGACGAGUUUUAACUCACCAACUCGGAAGGUCCGACUCGGCGAGUUCGAAACUACAGUUUUCAAGCCAUGCAUGGCUAAGAAACUCGAGAAGAAGGAGAACCCGAAGUUUUUCGUACAAGAACCGUGGCCAUUUAGUCACUUUCAAACCAUUUUUUUGGUCAACCUCGACCACAACUGGACUUCUUCUAGAUUUUCGCGAAGAAGGCAAGUACAGUGUACUCGCGGGGGCGCGUGGGCGCGCGUGGACCGCCACUUUGGG